UUAGUAAAAAGGCAAAAUAAGUGAAAGUUUAUGACGCAAAGCCUUAGGUCUAAAAGCAAAAAAGCUUAUGAUAGCUAGGCUACACCA
rfam:Clostridium sp. CAG:452 genomic scaffold, scf31